rnacentral:rRNA from 2 species
GGAAAGAUGAAAAGAACUUUGAAAAGAGAGUUAAACAGUACGUGAAAUUGUUGAAAGGGAAACGAUUGAAGCCAGUCGUACCGGUGGGUAAUCAGCCUUUCGGCGUGAUUAUGUGGAGCGUGAGGAGUCAAACGCCCUCAUGCCUGCAUAUUCGUGUUCUUUGGGUGUACUUACCCGCAUGGUAGGUUAACAUCAAUUUCGAACGUCAUAAAAUGGUUGGAGGAAUGUAGCUUCGAUCUCGUAUUGAAGUGUUAUAGCCUUCGGCAGAUGUGAUGAUCGGGAUUGAGGAUUGCAACGGAUACCCCUCGGGCUACCCGUCUGAUCUCUGAAAGUUACUCUGGUGCCGCAAGCUCGCUUACGGUCAUCAAAGUUGACGUUCAACAGGUUAGAACGGGAUAAAUUCGUUAAGGAUGUUGACGUAAUGGCUUUAAACGACCCGUCUUGAAACACGGACCA